GCCUGAGUGGCUCAGUCGGUUGAGCGUCUGACUUUGGCUCAGGUCAUGAUCUCACGGUCUGUGAGUUCGAGCCCCGCAUCAGGCU
rnacentral:tRNA from 1 species